AGAGUUUGAUCCUGGCUCAGAACGAACGCUGGCGGCAGGCUUAACACAUGCAAGUCGAACGCUCGUAGCAAUACGGGAGUGGCAGACGGGUGAGUAACGCGUGGGAACAUACCCUCCGGUUCGGAAUAGCUCAGGGAAACUUGGAUUAAUACCGGAUACGGCUGAGAGGCGAAAGAUUUAUCGCCGGAGGAUUGGCCCGCGUUCGAUUAGCUUGUUGGUGAGGUAACGGCUCACCAAGGCGAUGAUCGAUAGCUGGUCUGAGAGGAUGAUCAGCCACAUUGGGACUGAGACACGGCCCAAACUCCUACGGGAGGCAGCAGUGGGGAAUAUUGGACAAUGGGCGCAAGCCUGAUCCAGCCAUGCCGCGUGAGUGAUGACGGCCUUAGGGUUG
rnacentral:rRNA from 1 species